rnacentral:lncRNA from 1 species
AAUUAAAAAAAUAAAUAAAAAAUAAUUCACCAGUGAAGUCAUCUGGUCCUGGGCUUUUCUUUGUUGGGAAGUUUUCGAUUGUUGCAGUUUCACUUGCUGCAGGACUAUUUAAUUCUGUUUCUUUAUGAAUCAGUUUUGGUAGUGUGUUUCUAGGAAUUCAUCUAUAUUAUCCCAUUUUUUGGCAAACAGUUGCUCACAGUAGUGUGUGAUAAUCCUUACUUCUGUAAAGUCGGUAGUCAUGUCCUAUCCUUAACUUUUUUUUUUUUUUUUUUUGAGACGAAGUCUCGCUCUGUUGCCAGGCGGGAGUGCAGUGCUGCAGUCUCGGCU